GAUGAACGUUGGCGGUGUGCCUAAUACAUGCAAGUCGAACGGAGACUGUAGCAAUACUGUCUUAGUGGCGAACGGGUGAGUAACGCGUUGGUGAGUCUGCCUCGAAGUGUGGAAUAACCUCCCGAAAGGGAAGCUAAUACCGCAUAGUCUCUCAAGGUUUAGAAAAUUGAGAGUAAAGGAUUUAUUCGCUUCGAGAGGAGCCUGCGUCCCAUCAGCUAGUUGGUAGGGUAACGGCCUACCAAGGCAAUGACGGGUAGGGGACCUGAGAGGGUGGCCCCCCACAAUGGAACUGAAACACGGUCCAUACACCUACGGGUGGCAGCAGUAGGGAAUAUUAGAAAUGGGCGGAAGCCUGAUCUAGCAACACCGCGUGUGCGAUGAAGGGCCUUCGGGUCGUAAAGCACUUUUUGGAGGGAAUAGGAAGGAAGGUACCUCCAGAAUAAGUCUCGGCUAACUACGUG
rnacentral:rRNA from 1 species